rnacentral:rRNA from 1 species
GAUGAACGCUAGCGGCAGGCUUAAUACAUGCAAGUCGAGGGGCAGCACGGUUAGCAAUAACUGGUGGCGACCGGCGCACGGGUGCGUAACACGUAUACAAUCUACCUUAAACAGGGGAUAGCCUUUCGAAAGAGAGAUUAAUACCCCGUAAUAAAUUGAACGGCAUCGUUUGAUUUUGAAAGCUCCGGCGGUUUGAGAUGAGUAUGCGUCUGAUUAGCUAGUUGGUGAGGUAACGGCUCACCAAGGCGACGAUCAGUAGGGGAUCUGAGAGGACUAACCCCCCACACUGGUACUGAGACACGGACCAGACUCCUACGGGAGGCAGCAGUAAGGAAUAUUGGUCAAUGGAGGCAACUCUGAACCAGCCAUGCCGCGUGCAGGAUGACGGCCCUAUGGGUUGUAAACUGCUUUUAUACAAGAGAAAACCCUGGUACGUGUACCAGGUUGAUAGUAUUGUAAGAAUAAGCAUCGGCUAAACUUCGUGCCAGCAGCCGCGGU